UGCAACAAGCAGGGAGGGGGGGACAAAAAAAUAUUUAUUUAAAAAAUAUAUAUUUUUUUGUCCCCCCCUCCCUGCUUGUUGCCUGGCCAGGGAG